rnacentral:rRNA from 1 species
UACGAACGCUGGCGGCGUGCUUAACACAUGCAAGUCGAACGGAAAGGCCCUGCUUUUGUGGGGUGCUCGAGUGGCGAACGGGUGAGUAACACGUGAGUAACCUGCCCUUGACUUUGGGAUAACUUCAGGAAACUGGGGCUAAUACCGGAUAGGAUCUCCUGCUGCAUGGUGGGGGUUGGAAAGUUUCGGCGGUUGGGGCUGGACUCGCGGCUUAUCAGCUUGUUGGUGGGGUAGUGGCUUACCAAGGCUUUGACGGGUAGCCGGCCUGGGAGGGUGACCGGCCACAUUGGGACUGAGAUACGGCCCAGACUCCUACGGGAGGCAGCAGUGGGGAAUAUUGCACAAUGGGCGGAAGCCUGAUGCAGCAACGCCGCGUGCGGGAUGACGGCCUUCGGGUUGUAAACCGCUUUCGCCUGUGACGAAGCGUGAGUGACGGUAAUGGGUAAAGAAGCACCGGCUAACUACGUG